UACGUAGGGUGCGAGCGUUAAUCGGAAUUACUGGGCGUAAAGGGUGCGUAGGCGGUCGGGUAAGUCUGAUGUGAAAUCUCACAGCUUAACUGUGAAACUGCAUUGGAUACUAUCCGGCUCGAGGAAUGGAGGGGAGACUGGAAUACUUGAUGUAGCAGUGAAAUGCGUAGAUAUCAAGUGGAACACCAGUGGCGAAGGCGAGUCUCUGGACAUUUCCUGACGCUGAGGCACGAAAGCCAGGGGAGCAAACGGG
rnacentral:rRNA from 1 species